rnacentral:rRNA from 1 species
UACGUAGGGGGCAAGCGUUGUUCGGAAUUACUGGGCGUAAAGGGCGCGUAGGCGGCACGGUAAGUCGGGAGUGAAAGCCCGGGGCUCAACCCCCGGAACGUCUUUCGAAACUGCCGAGCUAGAGUGCGGAAGAGGCAACUGGAAUUCCCAGUGUAGCGGUGAAAUGCGUAGAUAUUGGGAAGAACACCUGAGGCGAAGGCGGGUUGCUGGGCCGACACUGACGCUGAGGCGCGAAAGCCAGGGGAGCGAACGGG